rnacentral:rRNA from 1 species
UACGUAGGGCGCAAGCGUUGUCCGGAAUUAUUGGGCGUAAAGAGCUCGUAGGCGGCCUGUCGCGUCUGCUGUGAAAUCCCGGGGCUCAACCCCGGGCCUGCAGUGGAUACGGGCUGGCUGGAGGCAGGCAGGGGAGAACGGAAUUCCUGGUGUAGCGGUGAAAUGCGCAGAUAUCGGGAAGAACACCCGUGGCGAAGGCGGCUCUCUGGAACGCAACUGACGCUGAGACGCGAAAGCGUGGGGAGCAAACAGG